CAAUAGCGUAUAUUAAAGUUGUUGCGGUUAAAAAGCUCGUAGUUGGAGUUCUGCCAGGUGCCGCCUGUCCGCCCCAGUGGUGAGUACGUGGCGCGCAUUUGGCCCUUUCAAGGGGAGCGUAUCUGCACUUUAUUGUGUGGUGCGGGAUCCUUGACUUUUACUUUGAGGAAAUAGGAGUGUUCCAAGCAGGCUCUCGUCGUGCACAGCUCAGCAUGGAAUAAUAGCAUUGGACCUCGAUUCUAAGCUGUUGGUUGCCAGAAGCGAGGUAAUGAUGAAGAGGGAUAGUUGGGGGCAUUCGUAUUUCAUUGUCAGAGGUGAAAUUCUUGGAUUUAUGAAAGACGAACUACUGCGAAAGCAUUUGCCAAGGAUGUUUUCAUUAA
rnacentral:rRNA from 1 species